CCGAUGGGUUCGUGGGCGUGUCAGUGCGCAGGCGUAUUUGACCAGGCUGCCCGAGACUGAGCUGUUUCUGACAGGUGUUCCCCGGGAUAGAGAAGCCAGCUACCGACCUGGACCCCACCAGCACCAUGGGCAGUGGCUGCCGCAUCGAAUGCAUAUUCUUCAGCGAGUUCCACCCCACGCUGGGACCCAAGAUCACCUAUCAGGUCCCGGAAGACUUCAUCUCCCGGGAGCUGUUUGACACUGUCCAGGUGUACAUCAUCACCAAGCCAGAGCUGCAGAACAAGCUCAUCACUGUCACAGCCAUGGAGAAGAAACUGAUCGGCUGCCCUGUGUGCAUUGAGCACAAGAAGUACAGCCGCAAUGCCCUGCUCUUCAACCUAGGCUUUGUCUGUGAUGCCCAGGCCAAGACCUGUGCCCUAGAGCCCAUUGUCAAAAAGCUGGCUGGCUACCUGACCACACUGGAGCUAGAGAGCAGCUUCGUGUCCACGGAGGAGAGCAAGCAGAAGUUGGUGCCCAUCAUGACUAUCUUGCUGGAGGAGCUAAAUGCUUCAGGCCGGUGCACUUUGCCCAUCGAUGAAUCCAACACCAUCCACUUGAAGGUCAUUGAACAACGGCCUGAUCCUCCUGUGGCCCAGGAAUAUGAUGUGCCUGUCUUUACCAAAGACAAGGAGGAUUUCUUCAACUCGCAGUGGGACCUCACCACACAACAGAUCCUGCCCUACAUUGAUGGUUUCCGCCAUGUCCAGAAGAUUUCAGCUGAAGCAGAUGUGGAGCUCAACCUGGUGCGCAUCGCCAUCCAGAACCUGCUGUACUAUGGUGUUGUGACACUGGUGUCCAUCCUCCAGUACUCCAAUGUGUACUGCCCAACACCCAAGGUCCAGGACCUGGUAGAUGACAAGACCCUGCAGGAGGCAUGUCUAUCCUACGUGACCAAGCAAGGGCACAAGAGGGCCAGUCUUCGGGAUGUGUUCCAGCUGUACUGUAGUCUGAGCCCUGGCACCACUGUGAGAGAUCUCAUUGGCCGCCACCCCCAACAGCUGCAGCACGUUGAUGAACGGUCAGAGGGGACCCCUGGGCCAUGAGGGGUUUUCCUGAGGGCAGGUACACUCUCUGGGUCUCUCUGUAGCUCUGGGUCAGAGAGAAAAAAAGGAGAUCCCCAGUGAACAGAAUCAUGUGGCACUGCUGCUCCAGGAGGACUUCCUUGAGGAAGCUGAUCCAGUUCGGGCUUAUGAAGAAUCUCAUCCGGAGACUGCAGAAGUAUCCUGUGCGGGUGUCUCGGGAGGAGCGGAGCCACCCUGCCAGGCUUUAUACGGGCUGCCACAGCUACGAUGAGAUCUGCUGUAAAACAGGCAUGAGCUACCAAGAGCUGGAUGAACGGCUGGAAAACGACCCCAACAUCAUCAUCUGCUGGAAGUGAGGCUGAUGGGAGCUAAACUAGGCACACGGCUAUGGCUGCUCUCUCCAGCUAAGCCCUGCCUGGUGCAUGAGGAAUAGAGCAGCAAACUAGGCCAUACGGUCUCAAGGUUGACCCCCAUUUCUGUAAAUAAAGUAAUGUAUUUCAACUUA